UUUUCAAUGACUGCUUAAUUUAACCCUAUUUUUCCUCCAAUUUCAAUAGGACACUUGCUUCAAGUAAACCAGAAUUUCUGUGCUUCAAGGCUAAAAUCACCUACAAACAAACAGGGCCACAGUCUUACUGUAUCUUUUUCAGGCCAGGUGCAGUGACUCAUGCCCAAGGCAGGUGGAUCACUUGAGGUCAAGAGUUGGAG
rnacentral:lncRNA from 1 species